ACGAAUAUGUUGCAUUGCAUUGUUAAUUGUUGGUGUGAGUAAAUGCUGAAUGAUCCAAUAGUCUCUGAGUAAAGACCAGGAGCCUUUGACUACGCCCUGGCAGGUAUAGUAAAGACCAGGAGCCUUUGACUAUGCCCUGGCAAUGGUAAGUACAGAGGUGUUAUACACAUAUACAUAUAUGACAGGAAGACCAGGUGCUCGAUUCUACGCCCUGGCACGGAAGUUACUGAGGCUAUGUGGUGACAGGUUUACUCUUGAUGUGGCUUGUCUGUGUUAUGACGCAUUCCAUGAGAUCAUAUGUUAUGACUGAUUUUAUUAUUCUACUCACUGGGCUAUAGAGCUCAUCCCACUCCCUUAAUCCCAGUCUU
rnacentral:lncRNA from 1 species